CCGUCGUCACCAGGACAAUCCAUUCCUUCCACGAAAGCACAGAACGCAUGGACAGUCAUGUUUGUCCCAUAGCACCUGGACAUGUAAGGCGUCACCUGUUUCUCGGCUCAGUUCCCACACCACGUAGCAGCUGGUGUGUGGUAGAUUAUACAGUUCAGGUGUGAGUCAGCCGCUCUCAGGACGAGAACAGAGGUAAAGUCACCUGGUGCCGCCAACAGUGAGCCGUCGUGGGCUUGCUGGCACGGGGGGCAGACCUGUGCACUGUGGCACCGGCUCUGACUCUCUCUUUACCUCUCACCGAUUCAGGGGGCAAGCCUCAGAGGUUGGAAAGAA
rnacentral:lncRNA from 1 species